GACAGAGGUGCCGAGCGUUAGGCGGAAUCACUGGGCUUAAGGCGUGUGUAGGCGGAUCCGUAAGUACCUUGUGAAAUCCCACGGCUCACCCGUGGAACUGCUCGGUAUACUGGUCGUCUUGAGCCUUCUAGGGGCGAGUGGAACAAAUGGUGGAGCGGUGAAAUGCGUAGAUAUCAUUUGGAACGCCAAUGGUGAAAACAACUCGCUGGGGAAGUGCUGACGCUGAGACACGAAAGCCAGGGGAGCGAACGGG
rnacentral:rRNA from 1 species